GGACCCAUAGCUCAGCUGGUUAGAGCACGGGCCUCUUAAGCCUGGUGUCGAGGGUUCAAGUCCCUCUGGGUCCUCCA
rnacentral:tRNA from 1 species